GACGAACGCUGGCGGCGUGCUUAACACAUGCAAGUCGAACGGUAAGGCUCCAGCUUGCUGGGGUACACGAGUGGCGAACGGGUGAGUAACACGUGGGUGACCUGCCCUGCACUUCGGGAUAAGCCUGGGAAACUGGGUCUAAUACCGGAUAGGACCGCACCGUGAGGGUGUGGUGGAAAGUUUUUUCGGUGGGGGAUGGGCCCGCGGCCUAUCAGCUUGUUGGUGGGGUAAUGGCCUACCAAGGCGGCGACGGGUAGCCGGCCUGAGAGGGUGGACGGCCACAUUGGGACUGAGACACGGCACAGACUCCUACGGGAGGCAGCAGUGGGGAAUAUUGCACAAUGGGCGGAAGCCUGAUGCAGCGACGCCGCGUGGGGGAUGACGGCCUUCGGGUUGUAAACUCCUUUCACCAUCGACGAAGGGUUUCUGACGGUAGAUGGAGAAGAAGCACCGGCUAACUACGUG
rnacentral:rRNA from 1 species